CAAUGGAUAACUAACCUUCCAUGCUCUUUGAUUCGUUGUAUGCAUUCCUCCUUGGUACCAGAUAACCGCAACUGAUGCUUCCGCAGAUUUUCUUUUCCCAAAUUUCUCUCCUUUUCAUGGGCACAGUACAAUUCAAGCUCACGCGCGCAAGAAAAAAAGGGAGGGCAAGAAUGCAUUUCAAAUACAUGAAGAAAAAGGAUCCGUACCUUGACGAAGACGAACUCCGUUGUCGGUGCAAUCAUCAAAGCAUUCUUCCUCAUCC